GGGACUCAAUAUGGCGGCGCGCGCUCGGCCGCUUGACCCCGGUGUCCCCUAAAGCGGGUAAGGGAUGAAACUUUCUCAUCUCGAGUCAUGCUGUUUUCGGAAACGUAGGGAUGCGUUUUAAUUUCUAUGCGCCACCCGUGGGUCGGCCCUCACCUGCGAGUCGGCUGACCGUGAACGACCCUCACUUGCUGUGCACCGGAAGGGCUUGGUCUUCUUGGCCUCUGUUUCCCGGAAGUGGUUUCCCUCCACCUCCUUAGGAGGGCCGGCCUUCCCUAAGGGCGGAGUCUAGGGCUUCUUUGGGACUGAAUAUGCAUUAGCUUUUGGAAGUCCAGCUUUGAUUUUCCCCUAAGCAUUGUUACAAAGGCCGGACUGCGGCUCUGGGCACCGUUCACAUCCUCGGCCGCCUUUGGCUUUGUGACCUUGGGCCGGUUGUAUAAGCUCUCUGAGCUUCCCAGGUGACUUCUCUGCAAAGUGGGCUGGUAACGCCCGAGUUGGUGCUAAAUCCUAAAGUUCAUGCUGCGAACCGGUCCCUCAACAGAUCAGCCUCUGUUUGGUCUGGUGGCAUGCCCCACAGGCUCCUGAGAGACGUGAGAAGCAGCUUUGUAUGGGAGCCACCUCUGCUCGCGUUUCCACCCAGAACCAAAGGACUGACCAUUCUUUCAAUCCCUAAGCAGUGUCUUUUCUAUCUAAUCCUAAUAACCAAGCCUGGAGGAAUUGCAGACUUUCUGGUUGAAGGUUCAACAGGUCUCCUCGUUUAAGGAUAGAGUAAGUCUCACUGAAGCUACAGAGGAGAAUCUGGAAAAUGCAAAUGUUACUACCUUAACCGAAAGAGGGAGGAGGGGGCGCUUUCCUAAAUGGCCUUUACCUUGGACCUUUUCUUUCUCCUGGCAUUUGGGCUGCCAGGGAUCUUGCUUCUGCCCCACCAACACACUGAAAGCAAGAGCUCUUGACGUGAUGACUAAGGAAAAGAAUUUGGUUUUCAUUCGGAGACAGCUGAUUCUGAAGCCAUCUUAAAGCCUAAGCAUAGCACAACUGCAUUCAUGAUUCUAUGAAUUCUUUCCUACCAUUGGAACUUAGGGAAGGGGAGAGGAAGUGUGCAUCUAGGAAAUGUGGAAGGACACGCUCUUCGUUCUUUCAUCCUUCCGCUGCCUUCUAACUCUGUGGUCGAGUGUGGUCUUCCCAGGAGAGCAUCUUCCAGGAAACUCAUUAGAAAGGAAGAACCCCAGGCCUCAUUUCACAUCUGAAGCAGAGUCUGCCUUGUAGCCAACUCCCCAGCCAUUGCUAGGCAUGCUAAAGUUGACGAGGCCCUGGUUUAACUCCUGGGGUGGUCUGGUUUAAAGUGAUGAGAUGGCAUCAAAGAUGACGGAAGGACAGAGUCCACAGAGCCAGAAUUUGGGGCAGUGGAGGCAGAGCACCUAUUUCCUGCAUUUGGGCACUGCCAGCAGGUUGAUUCAGAAGAUGGGUGAAAAAUUUGUUCCUGGGGUAGCAGGAGGAGCACCACAACUUUGGAAUCUUUUGCUUAAAAGAAGGAUGAGCUCGGCUGUUCAUACCAUACAUCCCGGAGGUCUUCAGCAAGGUGAGGUUCCUCUGACCAAGAAGCCGGCUGCCUAGAUGCGCUAAGCACAGCUCCCUCGCAUAUUCUGGUGUCAUGCUCCAUCAUAAGUGACUAGACAUAGUUCCAGUGCUACCCAGCAGGAUCUCAUUGCUCAUGCAUUCCAAAGGCAAGAGUCUGCAUCUCAAAAAAUCAAAUACCUGGGAAUACACCUGACCAAGGAGAUUCAGCUCAGAAAAAGCUGGUGUUCAUUUAGUGGGUUCUCUUAAUCGUCAACAUUGGAUGACCAAUAAAUCUGCUCAAUAAGUCGUCUGGCAGCAGGAGGGUCCGCCUCUUCCACUCUUGGUGACGUUUCACAUUCUGGGAACCUCCUCCCGUCACCCCACAAUGGCGUUUUGUGUCUUGAUCCCCGUGGAAGAGCCCGGCGCACACACAGCUUAGCCUCUUCAUUCCUGGAGCCGUUCUACGUAUGCGAGACUGAAGCCAGGACAGAGGUCUUCAUCCUGGGUGUGCUUAUUCUUCACACCCUUCCCGAUGGUGGAGGUGAAGGUGCUGGUGGAUGAUAUAUCAGAAGCGACACCCCGGAACAGAGACCGCCUGUGACUGGAGCCCCAUUCCUGGCUGAACUGUACUGGGAAGAGCAGACCUGAGCAAGAUCUCUGAGACUUGGCCUCUGGCUUGAAGGUUGGACCACGGUGAGACUGAGAAGGCGCUUCCUGGAGGCCCCCAUUGACUCUGAAAGUUUCCAGUCUGGAAGAAAGAGAGCAGGUCGCUGCAAGCACUGAGGAUGAAAAGCCUCUGGAAACAAGGAACCGCCAGGCUUGGUCAGUGCCCCACCUGGAGAACAAGACCAGGUAGGUGACAGAAAUGAAGGGCAUGUCUGCUGAAUGAAUGUAUAGACAAAAUCAGUCGGUGACCUUAUGGGAAAAGGAAUCUCCCAGGUUUUCCUCUGCAGCAGUUUACGGACUCGUGCUUUGGAACAGCGCUCUUCUCGCUCACCUAUCCCACGUUGCUGUGGCUCUGGUGAAGGCCAUUGGCUACAGCUCCGAUUGGACCCCUAGCCUGGGAACCUCCAUAUGCCGCAGGAGUGGCCCUAGAAAAGGCAAAAAGACCAAAAAAAAAAAAAAANNNNAAAAAAAAAAAAAAAAAAAUGCAUGGAGCCGCCACGGGCGCUGUUAGCCACUUGCAUGUGAUGGCUUCAUGUUUGAUGAGCUCAAGGCUUUUCAAGAGUAAAUACCAUCCCUUAAUAUAAUGUCUCUCAUAUGAGACGGAGGCAUCUAAGUGCAGUAACGCCUAUCAGGGAAUCAGCCGCUAAACCUGUGUUGGAAAAUCAAAAACAUUGAUGCUUCAGCCCUUGAUUAGGGCACUCAAAUUUUUAAAAUUCAAAAAGUUGCAGUUCCAUGUUUGCUUACUUGAAUAUUAUGGACGAUUAUUGAAAUUCAUAAAAGAAACUUUUAUUGCCUCAUAGUACUUUCUUUUUAAUAGUAUUUUCUUCUUUUUAUUAUUUUCUGUAAUAAAAUUUAAAUUCUUGAAUAUUAUAGCCAAAUGACAUGCUCCUAAGAGCUACUUAAAUUUUUUAGGGAAUGCGCAGUCUUAAGAACCUUUAUCAGAACAGAAAAUAUAUUUGCUCAAUGUCUAUGACCCAGACAAAAGAAACAUAAUGAAAUUUCAUAAAAUUAAACUUAUUUAAUAAUUUAGUAAUACUUUUAUCUAUGUAUAUACUCGUGCCUUGCAACGAUUUAACAGUACAGAAAUUUGCUGGCACGAAUGCUUGGAUUUGCUCAUGACAAAUUCAGGUGAAAAUCAACCUUAUUUUUGAAAGUUUAAGAUUUGGCAGGUCCGCUGCUGGGCAUGGCACACGGAUAAAUCGUCGUUUCAGAGAAGGCCUCUGUGUUUGCUCAAGCGCAGCGGUGUUUUUUAAGUGAAGGCUGCUCCUGUUCUCUCCUGUCAAAAUCCAAGAUUCUAGGAGCCAGGUGAUUUCAGGACACACGGUGGUAAGUCCAUCGCAGGCCACUUUAGGAACUGCAAAAAAACGGUCAGAGGCCCUGUGAACUUCCAUGCUGAGACCUCCUGUCCAGAGCGGCAAACCCUGCCAGCCUUAACAACGUGUAAUAUAUCUUCAUGCCCAGGAAAGCCUUUGGCCUCGCCGCUGAGGGUCUGUGCUUACAGACGGGGUUCCCUAAGCAGAGGCAUCGAUGCGGCCACCGCAUUACUUUCUGUGCUAUGUGCCCUCUGCUUUUCGAGCGAGUGUGAGGCCUGGCAGAGAGCAAGUCCUGGCUGCUGUUCAGCAGGCGCAUCAGGGCCACUGCAGGCAUUUAGAAGACGGAACACAACACCGAGUUCCAAGACCCACCGUGAAAACCCCGGCAAGGCGUUACUGAAAAUGUCUUCGUUUGGCUUGUGUGGAUGCACAAGGAAGCCCUUCCUUUACCAUGUUUGAUGCUGAUCAGUGGCUCUUUUCUCGUAGAAUCAAUACUGAGGAGGAAAACCGAUUAUCGUGAGGCCCGUGAGAAGAACCGUACCUUUAUCCGCCAUUGGUGAGCUAGGAAAACAUCUUCCAUGGUCCGUACUCAACGUAUAGGCAUGUUUGUAUGUGAGUCUGUGUGUGCGUCUGUAUUUCUAUGUACGUACCCACAGACACACAUCAGUAUGCAGACCCACAUACAUACAGACCUGUUUCAAAACAUACACAUGGGUAUGCCCUCAAGAAGAAAACUCUAUUAAACCAAAUAUUUCUGGGUUGCAAGCUGCCCCAACGCAGCCUGCAGUACCAUAUACUGACAGCGUGAUCUGACUUGACUUUGUGAUACACGUGGGUAGGGUGGAGUCUGGGAGAGUCUUCAAACCAGAUGCCAGAGAUCUGAACGAGUGAAGAAGCGUUCAUCAAAUAGCUGUCCACCUCUCCCAACCAGAGGCCCUCCUCCCUCUGCACAUUGCGGAGAUUCGGCCGUACAAAGAGCAUGCCUGGAUUAAGAACAGGCCGAGCUCAAUAAAGAUUUGGAAAUACUCAAAUUGCUGGGAUGCUCACCUCUCAAGCCAGAGGUUUUGUUACGUUUUAGGGACCUGUGAGCAGCAAAACAGAGCACACCAGCAGCUGUUUUCCACGGGAAGGAAGAAAAAGGAAAAUAGAAAUAAGACAAUGUCACAGGACAAUCAGUCUCAUAGAAUGAAAUAUGGACGCGUAUGCCCCAGAGAAGAAUUUUCAUUUCGCCCAGGCAAUGUCCGGAGAGCAGCGUACAUCACGACUCCCUGCUGUUCUGGGUGUCUUGCCUAAGUCACUGUUCGCAGGCAGGCGGUCUUCCUUGCCUUUGUGGAGAACGAAGCUUAAGCACUUGCAGAGGAAGCAUUUCAUGUGUCAAUUCAUGGUAUAUUUCAGGUUACAAGUGCUCUGUUACAAUGAUCACACCUGAUAGCAAUUGUCUUAAAUAUGUGAAUAAACAGGGCCUGAAAAACUG
rnacentral:lncRNA from 1 species